GUCGAGAAUUUUUCUCAAUGGGGGAAACCCUGAAGGAGCGACGCCGCGUGGGGGAUGAAGGGCUUCGGCUCGUAAACCCCUGUCAUUUGUGAGCAAGUGUUAUUGUUUAAGAGAUGAUGACAUUGAUAGUAGCAAAAGAGGAAGGGACGGCUAACUCUGUGCCAGCAGCCGCGGUAAUACAGAGGUCCCAAGCGUUGUUCGGAAUCACUGGGCGUAAAGGGUGCGUAGGCGGUAUGGUAAGACUUGGGUGAAAUCUCCAUGCUUAACGUGGAAGGAGCCUGGGAGACUGCCGUGCUAGAGGAUUGGAAGGGAGACUGGAAUUCUUGGAGUAGCAGUGAAAUGCGUAGAUAUCAAGAGGAACACCAGUGGCGAAGGCGAGUCUCUGGACAAGAACUGACGCUGAGGCACGAAGGCAAGGGGAUCAAACGGGAUUAGAAACCCGUGUAGUCC
rnacentral:rRNA from 1 species